GGCUUGUUGGUCUAGUGGUACGAUUCCUGUUUCGAGUACAGGAGGUCCCGGCUUCAAACCCCGGACAAGCUC
rnacentral:tRNA from 1 species